AUAGGGCGGGUCGUUUAGAUUUCUUUGUGUUUUGCAAACAUGCUUUUGAAAUUCAAUUUAUUUUCGGGAAAGGAGGAGGAGCGAUGAAUUUUGGGUUUUUAAUUUUUAUUAUGUCUAUUUUAAAUAGAGGUCAUGUAUAAAUUCGUAAACGACUUUAAUAGCUCAUAACAUACACUAAAUUACAUAUAAAACGUGUAUAUUCCAAUAAUAUUGUAAUACCUUGUAACAUUUGACGUUUUCUUUAAUGGCUGAAAUUGACUAUUAACUAACUCCAAAUUAUUUUACUUUGAGUUAGAUUUGUAGGAAAUCCCAAUAUAUAUUAACCCUAAAUAAUUCCUUUUACUAACUUUUAUCAAACGAAACUCCCCUAUUUUAUAACAUAUAACAAACAACCCCAUCAUUUGGUGUUCCCGUGAUUCCGUCCAUCCAACGUCGAACUUGUUUUGCCAGUAGUCACAUGGCCACAUGGCCAGUCUGUGUAUCAUCAUCUAUUCCGAGCCAUUCAUGGGAGUCGGCCAUUGUCAAAAACAACCUUUGAUUUGCACAGUUCAAUGCAAAGUACAGUAAAGCAACUAAAUUAAGGAAUUAAGAGUCAGAAUACAACCCAAUGGAAAGUUAACACAGGAAAUCACAUAUCUAUGGUUCUGCAGGUCUUAUAUAUGGUGAAAUUUUGAUUGUUUUGUAACAUCGGGCCGGAUACAUGGUUGAAUCCAACUUCCCCUUUACAGGGGAUGAAGGACAAAAGCUGGAGAUCAGCAGGACUUUCCACAGCAGUAACAGGCCAGGGCCACUAUCAGUAUCAGCAGUAUCAUUGGUACCGAUAUCAUGAACACAAACCCCAUCCUUAUUGUUCUUCUAGCUAGCUAGGUAAAAACCUGCAGUUACAGUACAUCGGCCAUAUGACAGGACAAGAAUCAGACAGGGCGGGUGGAUCAUAUAUGGAUUAUUAGGAGCAGAGGAACAGAGCGUUUCAAACAAAAAGGACAGUUUACUAUCAUCUGAUGAUGAUCGGAAAACGUGCUCUAAAUGCUAAUCAUCCUUGAGAAAAACAAUAAGUAGAUAAGGCUUGAAGAAAAGAGGAGAAAUCCAACAUUUAGUUAACGCACCUGUAUAUUCAAGUUGCGGUUGGUAGAUCCGAAAUAAGAGCAACAGUACUGCCGGCAGUGUGAUCUACCGGUUCAUAAAACGCCACUGAUAGUAGUAAGUAGUCAGCCAAGGAGCGCGGAUCUUGACCAGAAAUGUGUAUGCCAGAAGAAGAUGAUAAAUGGGAGGGCGAUUAAUAAAGGCUCAUUUUUCUGUUUCUUUGAUUUACUUACUCUGCAAGCUAAAGAAAAAUAAUAAAGACGCAAGCUUUUGAAUUUCAGAGAUAAGAGGAGUUAGUGGGUUUGAUUAAAAGGUUGUUGUACAGAUAAUUGAAGCAAAAAGUCUC
rnacentral:lncRNA from 1 species